UGCGUAGGCGGAUAUGUAAGUGUAAGGUGAAAUCCCCGGCUUAACCGGGGAAUGGCUUUGCAAACUGCAUAUCUUGAGGCAAGUAGGGGUGUGUGGAACUCUUGGUGGAGCGGUGGAAUGCGUAGAUAUCAAGAGGAACGCCGAAGGUGAAGACAGCACACUGGACUUGUUCUGACGCUGAGGCACGAAAGCGUGGGGAGCAAACA
rnacentral:rRNA from 1 species